rnacentral:rRNA from 1 species
AUUGAACGCUGGCGGCAGGCCUAACACAUGCAAGUCGGACGAGCGGCGGACGGGUGAGUAAUGUAUGGGGACAUGCCCGAUGGCGGGGGAUAACUACUGGAAACGGUAGCUAAUACCGCAUACCAUCAGAUCAACCCAUAUGGGAUUAGCUAGUGGGUAAGGUAACGGCUCACCUAGGCGACGCUCCCUAGCUGGUCUGAGAGGAUGAUCAGCCACACUGGGACUGAGACACGGCCCAGACUCCUACGGGAGGCAGCAGUGGGGAAUAUUGCACAAUGGGCGCAAGCCUGAUGCAGCCAUGCCGCGUGUAUGAAGAAGGCCUUCGGGUUGUAAAGUACUUUCGGUCGGGAGGCGUUACCGACAGAAUAAGCACCGGCUAACUCCGUGCCAGCAGCCGCGGUAAUAC